rnacentral:rRNA from 1 species
CAGCCGCCACGGGAAUACGUAGGUGGCAAGCGUUGUACGGAAUUAUUGGGCGUAAAGGGCUCGCAGGCGGUUUCUUAAGUCUGAUGUGAAAGCCCCCGGCUCAACCCGGGAGGGUCAUUGGAAACUGGGAAACUUGAGUGCAGAAGAGGAGAGUGGAAUUCCACGUGUAGCGGUGAAAUGCGUAGAGAUGUGGAGGAACACCAGUGGCGAAGGCGACUCUCUGGUCUGUAACUGACGCUGAGGAGCGAAAGCGUGGGGAGCGAACAGGAUUAGAUACCCCCGUAGUCCCUGUCUCUUAUAC